UCUGCUGAAGUCAAGGAGCCCAGCGUGCCUGGGAAAUGUGAAAGGACCAAGACAACUUAGGGGUGGCUGAAGCUGUUGUUCCCCAUGUCCUCUGAGAUGUGGAAUUUAAUUGGAGCUGACAGAUGAACCUACCAUGUCAGGAGACAGCUGCCUUGGGUCUGCCUAGAAGGUCCAGAACUCUAUCCACUGCACCAGCUAUCUGCCCUAGAGAUGGACCAAAGUGGGAGCCGAUUGAUAGUUCCAUCCAGGAACAAUGAAUGGAAAUGAGUGCCACAGAAGCUAUGUGAAUGUCUGAAAAUUUAUAUUAAUUUUGCACAAAAUGAAAAUUAUGUUGAAAAAUAUUUAAAUAAAUCAUAUUAUUAUAUUAUUGACA
rnacentral:lncRNA from 1 species